CAAGUAUACCCGGAGUUUAAAGCUACUCAAUCGUAAUUAUUGUAUAUUUUCUACAACAUUUGUUUAUAGGCAGACGGUACCGUUAAUCCCGAUUAACUACGCUUUUAAUUGGAUCGAAGUUUCAAGGUAACAGACAGCAGUGUUGGGAUUUUUCAGAGUAAAAUAGUUUGAAGUCAAACAUUGCUUUUAUUAGCCGCACAUUCUCCCACGGCCCGAAGAGCUGCGUCUCUUCCACCAUUGGUCACCGUGUACGCUUUUUUCUACAAGCCAUCUGAUGUUGAAACAAAAAUUGUCAUUCACAAUAGAAUUCUGCUGGUAAUUUUCAACAACGUUGCCGAAGAAAAUGUCACAAACGUUUUAUAUUUUUGACACUCAUUUUUGGAGUUCGCAGCAGAGUAAGCUGUAGUGACUCCUGAGUUAGUUCCAAUUAAUACAGUAAAUCGGGUUUAACGCCACCGUCUGUCAAGGCUAAUACACAAAUCUCUGUAAUAAAUUUUCUUUGCAAUUAGACUGUAAUUCAAAUUUU